rnacentral:rRNA from 1 species
AAUUUUUAAUAAAAUUUUAUCUUAAUAAAAAGUGAAAUUAGAUUAUUAAAUGUAAAAUUUUAUUUAAUUUUAAUAUAAUGAAGCUUAAAAAAUUGAGGUAUGAAUUAGGAUUAGAUACCCUAGUACACUUUAAAUUAAUUGUAAAAAGACUAGAAUACUAAAAGUUAUAUUCUUUAAAUUUAAAAAAUUUGGCGGUAUUUUAGUCUAGUUAGAGGAACCUGUUUUUUAAACGACAACACACGCAUUAUCUUACUUAUUCUAGUAAUCAGUUUGUAUACCGUCAUUAUAAGAUAAUUUAAGAGAAAAUAUUAUUAAGAUCAUAUUAUGUGAGUAUAUUAGAUCAAGGUGCAGCUAAUGAAUAAGAAAAAAUGGGUUACAAUAAAAAUUAUUUAUACGGAUUUAAUAUUUAAAUAUAUUAAUGAAGGAGGAUUUAAUUGUAAAAUAAAAUUAAUAGGUUUU